CGUGCACCAGUGGGGUCCCUCGGCCUGGCCUGCGGGAUCGGGCUGAAACUUGCUCUCUGACGUCCCCAGAGAGUUCCUGGAUUUCAAGAGGGUUCAGGCCAGGCCGAGGGACUCCACUGGUGCAUG
rfam:Myotis davidii contig126152, whole genome shotgun sequence.